rnacentral:lncRNA from 1 species
AAAUCAAGGCAAAAGUUAAAAAUUUAAAUAAAAUAGAUAUUCAAAACUCCUUCACAAAACUCUAACCCUAGAUAUAAUUUAGUUUAAUAUAUUCAUAAUUAAAAUCAAGAAUUCAAAGAAAAGAUACAAAUAAGAAGAUAAAAGUAAAGAAAACUUCUCAAUUUCCCUUGCUUCGAUCUUCUUCUUUGAUUCUUCCACGGUUCCUCCUUGAUCUCUCAAGAAAAGAAGAUGUAAUGGUUUCUAUCCUAAAAACAACCUUAAGAACUCCUAUUUAUAGUUUCUUGAAAAUAUAUCCUAAACAGGGUAGAAAUAGGCUUUAUUGGACUUGAAAAAUCACGUUUUCGCCUAUUUUUCUGAUGAUGACCGGCCCAAUGACCAGCGCCAGUCAUUGGAUCAAGUUCAAAACACAAAAGAAUCUGAAGAUGUCUGACACGAAGCUCCUUGCAAUGUCUGACGCCAGUCCUAGAUCCGUUCGUGAAUCGGUACAGAUCCGCAUGCAUAUCACUUUUGAAGCCCAAAAACAUCAUCAAAGAGGCUGAAUCAGUUCUUACUCAAAACAUGCAAGUUGUAACUCUUUGAAUAAGCUUUUCAAUGCCACAAGAAUCAAGUCAUUUGGAGUAUGUAUGGAUGCCGAGAUAUACCUAAAACACUGAUACCUGAUUACAAGAGCAUCGCAGCUCAACUAUAUUUUAGUAAUUUGGAUUUUUGACUAUGAAAACAUGAUAACCAAACAUUGAUGUCUACGUAAGAUUUGUAGAACAUUCUCUGAGGUUCAAACUAAAUCAAGAAUCAUCUAAAUUCAAUUUAUGUAGUUCAAGUUAUUGCCAAAAUACUAAAACAUGUCAAUCUUAUCAAAUCCUUUUCUCUUGACUUUUUCCUCUUCCAUUGCUACUUCAUGCCACGUUUUUAGCCCAUUUUCUCUUCAAUUAAAAUUUUCACCUAUUAAAACAAUAUAAGAACAAAAUUAAAUAAUUUCUACUCAAGAUAAAGCUCAAAUAACAUAAUUAACUUGCAACUUAAACAUAUAAAUUUACUACAUUUCAUACCCUGUCAUUGAGCUUCUGGAGGAAGUUUAUCAUUCUGUCAAAUUAAACUUGAACGGCUUGGCAAAUUGGAGGUCCCUGUGGAUGUAGGAUACAGAUAAAGAUACCAUAGCCCCCUUAUGAGUUUUGACAGGUAAUUUGAUGGUCUUGACUCUACUGGUGUGCAGCUGAUGAGACAAACUCUGUGCCACAUGUGGAUAAGGAUUCAUUGCCAGAAAAUUUAACUAUAGAAUUGUAGAUCACCGACAGACAGUUGGAUAUUAUUUGAGCCGGGAUUUGAAGAGCUUGCCUUACAGUUUGUUGACAUGUGGAGGCAUGCAUGCUCCAGGAAGAUCCUGGGUUCGGUGAGCCAUUGCUUU